AGAGUUUGAUCAUGGCUCAGGACGAACGCUGGUGGCGUGCUUAACACAUGCAAGUCGAACGGUGAAGCCCAGCUUGCUGGGUGGAUCAGUGGCGAACGGGUGAGUAACACGUGAGCAACCUGCCCCCUACUUCGGGAUAAGCCUUGGAAACGAGGUCUAAUACCGGAUAUGAGCACCUACCGCAUGGUGGGUGUUGGAAAGUUUUUCGGUGGGGGAUGGGCUCGCGGCCUAUCAGCUUGUUGGUGGGGUAAUGGCCUACCAAGGCGUCGACGGGUAGCCGGCCUGAGAGGGCGACCGGCCACACUGGGACUGAGACACGGCCCAGACUCCUACGGGAGGCAGCAGUGGGGAAUAUUGCACAAUGGGCGAAAGCCUGAUGCAGCGACGCCACGUGAGGGAUGACGGCCUUCGGGUUGUAAACCUCUUUCAGCAGGGAAGAAGCGAAAGUGACGGUACCUGCAGAAGAAGCGCCGGCUAACUACGUGCCAGCAGCCGCGGUAAUACGUAGGGCGCAAGCGUUGUCCGGAAUUAUUGGGCGUAAAGAGCUCGUAGGCGGUCUGUCGCGUCUGGUGUGAAAUCCCAUGGCUCAACUGUGGGCUUGCAUCGGGUACGGGCAGACUAGAGUGCUGUAGGGGAGACUGGAAUUCCUGGUGUAGCGGUGGAAUGCGCAGAUAUCAGGAGGAACACCGAUGGCGAAGGCAGGUCUCUGGGCAGUUACUGACGCUGAGGAGCGAAAGCAUGGGGAGCGAACAGGAUUAGAUACCCUAGUAGUCC
rnacentral:rRNA from 1 species